UUAAGCGACUAAGCGUACACGGUGGAUGCCCUGGCAGUCAGAGGCGAUGAAGGACGUGCUAAUCUGCGAUAAGCGUCGGUAAGGUGAUAUGAACCGUUAUAACCGGCGAUUUCCGAAUGGGGAAACCCAGUGUGUUUCGACACACUAUCAUUAACUGAAUCCAUAGGUUAAUGAGGCGAACCGGGGGAACUGAAACAUCUAAGUACCCCGAGGAAAAGAAAUCAACCGAGAUUCCCCCAGUAGCGGCGAGCGAACGGGGAGGAGCCCAGAGCCUGAAUCAGUGUGUGUGUUAGUGGAAGCGUCUGGAAAGGCGCGCGAUACAGGGUGACAGCCCCGUACACAAAAAUGCACAUGCUGUGAGCUCGAUGAGUAGGGCGGGACACGUGGUAUCCUGUCUGAAUAUGGGGGGACCAUCCUCCAAGGCUAAAUACUCCUGACUGACCGAUAGUGAACCAGUACCGUGAGGGAAAGGCGAAAAGAACCCCGGCGAGGGGAGUGAAAAAGAACCUGAAACCGUGUACGUACAAGCAGUGGGAGCCUCUUUAUGGGGUGACUGCGUACCUUUUGUAUAAUGGGUCAGCGACUUAUAUUCUGUAGCAAGGUUAACCGAAUAGGGGAGCCGAAGGGAAACCGAGUCUUAACUGGGCGUUAAGUUGCAGGGUAUAGACCCGAAACCCGGUGAUCUAGCCAUGGGCAGGUUGAAGGUUGGGUAACACUAACUGGAGGACCGAACCGACUAAUGUUGAAAAAUUAGCGGAUGACUUGUGGCUGGGGGUGAAAGGCCAAUCAAACCGGGAGAUAGCUGGUUCUCCCCGAAAGCUAUUUAGGUAGCGCCUCGUGAAUUCAUCUCCGGGGUAGAGCACUGUUUCGGCAAGGGGGUCAUCCCGACUUACCAACCCGAUGCAAACUGCGAAUACCGGAGAAUGUUAUCACGGGAGACACACGGCGGGUGCUAACGUCCGUCGUGAAGAGGGAAACAACCCAGACCGCCAGCUAAGGUCCCAAAGUCAUGGUUAAGUGGGAAACGAUGUGGGAAGGCCCAGACAGCCAGGAUGUUGGCUUAGAAGCAGCCAUCAUUUAAAGAAAGCGUAAUAGCUCACUGGUCGAGUCGGCCUGCGCGGAAGAUGUAACGGGGCUAAACCAUGCACCGAAGCUGCGGCAGCGACACUAUGUGUUGUUGGGUAGGGGAGCGUUCUGUAAGCCUGUGAAGGUGUACUGUGAGGUAUGCUGGAGGUAUCAGAAGUGCGAAUGCUGACAUAAGUAACGAUAAAGCGGGUGAAAAGCCCGCUCGCCGGAAGACCAAGGGUUCCUGUCCAACGUUAAUCGGGGCAGGGUGAGUCGACCCCUAAGGCGAGGCCGAAAGGCGUAGUCGAUGGGAAACAGGUUAAUAUUCCUGUACUUGGUGUUACUGCGAAGGGGGGACGGAGAAGGCUAUGUUGGCCGGGCGACGGUUGUCCCGGUUUAAGCGUGUAGGCUGGUUUUCCAGGCAAAUCCGGAAAAUCAAGGCUGAGGCGUGAUGACGAGGCACUACGGUGCUGAAGCAACAAAUGCCCUGCUUCCAGGAAAAGCCUCUAAGCAUCAGGUAACAUCAAAUCGUACCCCAAACCGACACAGGUGGUCAGGUAGAGAAUACCAAGGCGCUUGAGAGAACUCGGGUGAAGGAACUAGGCAAAAUGGUGCCGUAACUUCGGGAGAAGGCACGCUGAUAUGUAGGUGAAGCGACUUGCUCGUGGAGCUGAAAUCAGUCGAAGAUACCAGCUGGCUGCAACUGUUUAUUAAAAACACAGCACUGUGCAAACACGAAAGUGGACGUAUACGGUGUGACGCCUGCCCGGUGCCGGAAGGUUAAUUGAUGGGGUUAGCGGUAACGCGAAGCUCUUGAUCGAAGCCCCGGUAAACGGCGGCCGUAACUAUAACGGUCCUAAGGUAGCGAAAUUCCUUGUCGGGUAAGUUCCGACCUGCACGAAUGGCGUAAUGAUGGCCAGGCUGUCUCCACCCGAGACUCAGUGAAAUUGAACUCGCUGUGAAGAUGCAGUGUACCCGCGGCAAGACGGAAAGACCCCGUGAACCUUUACUAUAGCUUGACACUGAACAUUGAGCCUUGAUGUGUAGGAUAGGUGGGAGGCUUUGAAGUGUGGACGCCAGUCUGCAUGGAGCCGGCCUUGAAAUACCACCCUUUAAUGUUUGAUGUUCUAACGUUGGCCCCUGAUCGGGGUUGCGGACAGUGUCUGGUGGGUAGUUUGACUGGGGCGGUCUCCUCCUAAAGAGUAACGGAGGAGCACGAAGGUUGGCUAAUCCUGGUCGGACAUCAGGAGGUUAGUGCAAUGGCAUAAGCCAGCUUGACUGCGAGCGUGACGGCGCGAGCAGGUGCGAAAGCAGGUCAUAGUGAUCCGGUGGUUCUGAAUGGAAGGGCCAUCGCUCAACGGAUAAAAGGUACUCCGGGGAUAACAGGCUGAUACCGCCCAAGAGUUCAUAUCGACGGCGGUGUUUGGCACCUCGAUGUCGGCUCAUCACAUCCUGGGGCUGAAGUAGGUCCCAAGGGUAUGGCUGUUCGCCAUUUAAAGUGGUACGCGAGCUGGGUUUAGAACGUCGUGAGACAGUUCGGUCCCUAUCUGCCGUGGGCGCUGGAGAACUGAGGGGGGCUGCUCCUAGUACGAGAGGACCGGAGUGGACGCAUCACUGGUGUUCGGGUUGUCAUGCCAAUGGCACUGCCCGGUAGCUAAAUGCGGAAGAGAUAAGUGCUGAAAGCAUCUAAGCACGAAACUUGCCCCGAGAUGAGUUCUCCCUGAGACUUAGAGUCUCCUGAAGGAACGUUGAAGACGACGACGUUGAUAGGCCGGGUGUGUAAGCGCAGCGAUGCGUUGAGCUAACCGGUACUAAUGAACCGUGAGGCUUAACCUU
rnacentral:rRNA from 1 species